AACAUUAAUAAUAUUAUGUACUUUCACAGCAAUAUUCCUGCGUAUAUAUUUUUAAAAGAAUGGCACGUUAUGUCAUGGAAAGAAAUAAUCGGCUUCUUUCUGUUUGUGUUUGUCCUGUCGUUCACAUUCGGCUGUUG
rnacentral:lncRNA from 1 species